CCCUGGAACCCUGGAACCCUGGAACCCUGGAACCCUGGAACCCUGGAACCCUGGAACCCUGGAACCCUGGAACCCUGGAACCCUGGAACCCUGGAACCCUGGAACCCUGGAACCCUGGAACCCUGGAACCCUGGAACCCUGGAACCCUGGAACCCUGGAACCCUGGAACCCUGGAACCCUGGAACCCUGGAACCCUGGAACC
ensembl:ncRNA F57G4.14 ncRNA